AGUGAACGCUGGCGGCGUGCCUCAUACAUGCAAGUCGAACGCAGUGGCGCACGGGUGAGUAAUAUAUAGUUAAUCUGCCCUACACCGAGGAACACCAGUUGGAAACGACUGCUCAUACCCCCUAGUGUAGGAUGCGACUAUAUCGUUGCAGCUAGUUGGUCAGGUAAUGGCUUACCAAGGCUAUGACGCGUAACUGGUCUGAGAGGAUGAGCAGUCACAUUGGAACGGAGACACGGUCCAAACUCCGACGGGAGGCAGCAGUAAGGAAUAUGGCGCAAUGGGGGAAACCCUGACGCAGCAACGCCGCGUGGAGGAUGACACUUUUCGGAGCGUAAACUCCUUUUAUCAGGAAAGCGGUACCUGAUGAAUAAGCACCGGCUAACUCCGUGCCAGCAGCCGCGGUAAUUC
rnacentral:rRNA from 1 species